UACGUAGGGUGCGAGCGUUGUCCGGAUUUAUUGGGCGUAAAGGGCGCGCAGGCGGCCACGCACGUCCGUUGUGAAAUCGCCCGGCUCAACUGGGCGGGGUCAGCGGAUACGGCGCGGCUGGAGCAAGCUAGGGGGCAAUGGAACUCCCGGUGUAGUGGUGGAAUGCGUAGAUAUCGGGAAGAACACCAGUGGCGAAGGCGGUUGCCUGGAGCUUUGCUGACGCUGAGGCGCGAAAGCGUGGGGAGCGAUCCGG
rnacentral:rRNA from 1 species